rnacentral:rRNA from 1 species
UACGGAGGGUGCAAACGUUGCUCGGAAUCAUUGGGCGUAAAGCGCACGUAGGCGGUCCAGCAAGUCGGGUGUGAAAGCCCUCGGCUUAACCGAGGAAGUGCAUUCGAAACUACUGGACUUGAAUACUGAAGAGGAUCGCGGAAUUCCCGGUGUAGAGGUGAAAUUCGUAGAUAUCGGGAGGAACACCAGUGGCGAAGGCGGCUAUCUGGGCUGAAGCUGACGCUGAGGCGCGAAGGCUAGGGGAGCAAACAGG